AUACGGAGGAUCCAAGCGUUAUCCGGAUUUAUUGGGUUUAAAGGGUGCGUAGGCGGACUGGUAAGUCAGCUGUGAAAGUUUGCGGCUUAACCGUAAAAUUGCAGUUGAUACUGUCAGUCUUGAGUGUGCAUGAGGUGGGCGGAAUUCGUCGUGUAGCGGUGAAAUGCUUAGAUAUGACGAAGAACUCCGAUCGCGAAGGCAGCUUGCCGGGCCGCAACUGACGCUGAAGCUCGAAGGUGCGGGUAUCGAACAGGAUUAGAUACCCUGGUAGUCCGCACAGUAAACGAUGGAUACUCGCUGUCGGAGAUAUACGGUAGGUGGCCAAGCGAAAGC
rnacentral:rRNA from 1 species